rnacentral:rRNA from 1 species
AAUUUUGGACAAUGGGGGAAACCCUGAUCCAGCCAUCCCGCGUGUAUGAUGAAGGCCCUCGGGUUGUAAAGUACUUUUGGCCGGGAAGAAAAGGUAUCCCCUAAUACCGGAUACUGCUGACGGUAUCUGCAGAAUAAGCACCGCCCAACUACGCGCCAGCAGCCGCGGUAAUACGUAGGGGCCAAGCGUUAAUCGGAAUGACUGGGCGUGAAGCGUGUGUGGGCGGUUCGGAAAGAAAGAUGUGAAAUCCCAGGGCUCAACCUUGGAACUGCAUUUUUAACUGCCGAGCUAGAGUAUGUCAGAGGGAGGUAGAAUUCCACGUGUAGCAGUGAAAUGCGUAGAUAUGUGGAGGAAUACCGAUGGCGAAGGCAGCCCCCUGGGAUAAUACUGACGCUCAGACACGAAAGCGUGGGGAGCAAACAGG